AGUGAACGCUGGCGGCGUGCUUAACACAUGCAAGUCGAACGAUGAAGUUUAGUUUACUAAACGGAUUAGUGGCGCACGGGUGAGUAAUAUAUAGAUAAUCUGCCUCUUAGUCUGGGAUAGCCAUUGGAAACGAUGAUUAAUACUAGAUACUCCUUCUCAAUCAGAUUUGAGUCGGGAAAGGAACUCCUUAUGGUGCUUCGCUAAGAGAUGAGUCUAUAUCCCAUCAGCUUGUUGGUAGUGUAAGAGACUACCAAGGCAAUGACGGGUAGCGGGUUUGAGAGGAUGAUCCGCCACACUGGUACUGAGACACGGACCAGACUCCUACGGGAGGCAGCAGUGAGGAAUAUUGCACAAUGGGGGAAACCCUGAUGCAGCAACGCCGCGUGGAGGAUGACGCAUUUCGGUGUGUAAACUCCUUUUAUAAGGGAAGAAAAUGACGGUACCUUAUGAAUAAGCACCGGCUAACUCCGUGCCAGCAGCCGCGGUAAUACGGAGGGUGCAAGCGUUACUCGGAAUCACUGGGCGUAAAGGACGCGUAGGCGGAUUGGAAAGUCAGAUGUGAAAUCCUACAGCUUAACUGUAGAACUGCAUUUGAAACUUCUAAUCUAGAGUAUGGGAGGGGGAGAUGGAAUUAGUGGUGUAGGGGUAAAAUCCGUAGAUAUCACUAGGAAUACCGAAAGCGAAGGCGAUCUCCUGGAACAUAACUGACGCUAAGGCGUGAAAGCGUGGGGAGCAAACGGGAUUAGAUACCCCGGUAGUCCACGCCCUAAACGAUGAACACUAGUCGUCGGGAUGCUAGUCAUCUCGGUGAUGCACUUAACAGAUUAAGUGUUCCGCCUGGGGAGUACGGUCGCAAGAUUAAAACUCAAAGGAAUAGACGGGGACCCGCACAAGUGGUGGAGCAUGUGGUUUAAUUCGAUGCAACGCGAAGAACCUUACCAGCCCUUGACAUCCUGGGAAUUUUCUAGAGAUAGAUUAGUGCCUGCGGGAACCCAGUGACAGGUGCUGCAUGGCUGUCGUCAGCUCGUGUCGUGAGAUGUUGGGUUAAGUCCCGCAACGAGCGCAACCCUUGUCCUUAGUUGCCAGCAUUUAGUUGGGCACUCUAGGGAGACUGCCGGUGACAAACCGGAGGAAGGUGGGGAUGACGUCAAGUCAUCAUGGCCCUUAUGGGCUGGGCUACACACGUGCUACAAUGGUGCAUACAGAGGGUUGCCAACCCGCGAGGGGGAGCUAAUCCCACAAAGUGCAUCGUAGUCCGGAUUGGAGUCUGCAACUCGACUCCAUGAAGUCGGAAUCGCUAGUAAUCGUAGAUCAGAAUGCUACGGUGAAUACGUUCCCGGGCCUUGUACACACCGCCCGUCACACCAUGGGAGUGGGCUGCAAAAGGAGUGGGUAGCAUAACCUUCGGGAGUGCGCUCACCACUUUGUGGUUCAUGACUGGGGUGA
rnacentral:rRNA from 1 species